GAGGGGGUGACUAGUGACAGAGUGAGGGAGCGGGUGACACAGUGACAGAGUGAGGGAGUGACUAAUGACAGAGAGAGGGAUGGGGUAACUAGUGACAGUCACCCCCUCCCUCCCUCUGUCACUAGUCACUCCUUCCCUCUGUCACCAGUCAUCCCCUCCCUCUGUCACCAGUCAUCCACUCCCUCUGUCACUAGUCACCUCUUCCCUCCCUCACUUUGCCACUAGUCAUCUCUUCCCUC